rnacentral:rRNA from 1 species
GAUGAACGCUAGCUACAGGCUUAACACAUGCAAGUCGAGGGGUAACAAGAGAAAAGCUUGCUUUUCUUGUUGACGACCGGCGCACGGGUGAGUAACGCGUAUCCAACCUGCCUAUAACUAGGGAAUAACCUUGCGAAAGUAAGACUAAUACCCUAUGAUUUCCUUUGAUGACAUCAGAUUAGGAGUAAAGAUUUAUCGGUUAUAGAUGGGGAUGCGUCUGAUUAGCUUGUUGGCGGGGUACCGGCCCACCAAGGCAACGAUCAGUAGGGGUUCUGAGAGGAAGGUCCCCCACAUUGGAACUGAGACACGGUCCAAACUCCUACGGGAGGCAGCAGUGAGGAAUAUUGGUCAAUGGGCGGAAGCCUGAACCAGCCGAGUAGCGUGCAGGAUGACGGCCCUAUGGGUUGUAAACUGCUUUUAUACAGGAAUAAAGUUAGCCACGUGUGGUUAUUUGUAGGUACUGUAUGAAUAAGGACCGGCUAAUUCCGUGCCAGCCGCCGCCGUAA